CUGGCUGUGGCUUAUUCAGGCACAGAGCUUGUUUACCUAUUCUGAAUAUUUGACCUUUCUACUUUUUGGAAAUGGGUUUUUUUUUCCUCUUAAUUAUGUGGAAGGAGCACUUCCUUUCAGAGCUCUGAUGGACUUCUCUAUAAAUAGCUCCUCAUGUCCCAGAACCUCACACCAGAGCCUUCAGCAAAGUCAGCAUCCCCAGGACUUUUUCAGCCUGAGAUGGGAACCACGUGGAGUUUAAUCAUUAAUCACCAGUCUUUAAUUAACAGCUCUGGGCUUUGAACAAAAGGCACUUACUGCAAGGCUGCUGAGGGGCCCUGAACUCUUCAGUGUGCUUUCAUUUGGGGGACCUGGUGGCCUUCCAAAGGGGGCUGGUGGAGCAACCUCCUCCUCCUGGGAAGGGUCACGCAGCCCGGGAGCAGCAGAUGUUCGUGGCCUGAUCUCCAUUUGCACAAUUGUCCCGUGGCUGCAGGCAGAGCUGCCUCAAUGUGGGGACGCUGCCAGCUCCCCAAGGUGGGCAAAGAAGCAGAGAAUCUCCAGAGCGCCGUUACCACCAUCAGAGCUGCAUGAAAAACCCGAGAAGAGAAGCCCUAGACCAUUAGAAGAUAUCCUUGAUCAUCAUCUGUGGGGAAAUUCCAAUUGGCAGAGUCCAACAAAGAGCAGCUUUGUAAAGAAUCCAGAAAUGAGAAAGCAAUUCCUGUGAAAAUCUUCUUUGGGUGCUUGUCUCUUCUUCUUUGCUUCUCUUUCUCACUUCUCUUUCUGCUGCUUGGUAUUGAAACAAAAAUGUAGCUCAGAUUUACUCUAAAAUCAACUUUACUUCCAAAUAAGGCCCUGUAAGGUUGUCUCAUGAGCGGGGAUUUAUUUUUUCAAGAAAAAGACUUCCAUUAUCUGAUUUCCAAUGGAUGGCAUGGCUUACACUCUGCUUUUUGUAACAUCCCUGUUUGCAAUGGGAGCUCCUCUGGGAACACAGAGAUGCUUGAGAA